UAAUACGUAGGGGGCAAACGUUGCUCGGAAUUACUGGGCGUAAAGGGUGUGUAGGUGGCUGAGCAAGUCAUUGAUGAAAUCCCGAGGCUCAACCUCGGAAUGGUCUUUGAAACUGCGCAGCUUGAGGAUAUUUGAGGAAAACGGAAUUCCCGGUGGAGCGGUGAAAUGCGUAGAUAUCGGGAGGAACACCAGAGGCGAAGGCGGUUUUCUGGAAUAUUCCUGACACUGAAACACGAAAGCUAGGGGAGCAAACGGGAUUAGAUACCCCGGUAGUCCUAGCUGUAAACGAUGGGUACUAGAUGUUUCCGUGUUAUGCGGGAGUGUCGAAGUUAACGCGUUAAGUACCCCGCCUGGGGAGUACGGUCGCAAGGCUG
rnacentral:rRNA from 1 species